UACGGAGGAUGCAAGCGUUAUCCGGAUUUAUUGGGUUUAAAGGGUGCGCAGGUUGUUUGAUAAGUCAGUGGUGAAAGUCUGUCGCUUAACGGUAGGAUUGCCAUUGAUACUGUUAGACUUGAAUAUGGAUGAGGUAGGCGGAAUGUGUAGUGUAGCGGUGAAAUGCUUAGAUAUUACACAGAACACCGAUUGCGAAGGCAGCUUACUAAUCCAUCAUUGACGCUGAGGCACGAAAGCGUGGGGAGUCAAACAGGA
rnacentral:rRNA from 1 species